AGAAGACUGUCUUGACUGUCUCUCCUUUUACAAUAUUUUCUGAAGAGGCUGAACUUAUCCCUCUCCUCUCCAGGCUGUGGCACUCCAGAAACUUGGGAGCAGAGGGGCAGCACACAAACUGGGCACUGUGUGCAGGCAAAUGAGGCACACCUCAGCCCUGGUAAAUACGAGAAGGGGCAUGCCUCGGUCCUCUCUGAUCUACAGGUCAGAAAAUUAAGACCAGAGACUAGAGACCGAGGGAGGCUACGCCUGCAGAGGGAAAGAUGAAAUGAAGCCUCUCUCCGCUGAUGUUCCACAUGCUUUCCAUUUGACCGGGAUUCCCCAAACUUGGCUGAUCAUCAGCAUCACUGAGGAGCAAGGGGAGUUUAACAGGAUGGUUGUGAAGUACAGGGAGACUUUUUAAAGACAAGAGAUAUUACAGCAUGUUUGUCUGUUGAGGAGGAAAAUCUAAGAGAGAGAGAAAAGCUGACCAUGGCAGAGAACAAGAAGGACAAUUAAGAAAACAACAACACCACCUGGUUUCCAUUUAAAAAAGAAAAAUCGGACUGGAGAUUUGCAAUGCUGACCUCCUGGGACGGAAAGUCAAAGAAAAAGAGAGAAAGACAGAAAAAGUGAGUGAGAGAGAGAACAGAAAAAGAGGAAGAUUUUAUUAAUUGUGGCAUUACCACGUGUAAGCCAGAGCAUAGACCAUUGAUGCAGAUGCCUGACUUGCUGAUCCAGCCUGUGUGUCAGUACUGAGACCAACUUCAUCUUUCUGAAAUCACUCCGGGGUCAUGUCCAGCUCUUAGUAUUCUUUUUCUGAUGUGGAGGCAGAUGCCAAGAAGUUCUGAAUUAACAAGAAAAUCGUGACUAAAGGAUGGGGAGCAGAACCAGUAAAGUUUACAAAUGGAUAUUCUUAGACCCAGAAGAAAGAAAGGAGAAAAAAAACCCUUUAAUAUCUCCAGUGAUGAAUCCUUCUGAUAUGAUUAAUCUGUCAUAGUUUAACUGUUCUGGCAAAACUACUCUGCACAUGUUAACAUUUUCCUCUGUGUGAUUUAAGGCAAUAGUUAUAUACAUUUAAUUUGCAUAAGUGAAUGUAUUCAUAUAACUGUUUAUGGAAUGAUAGAUUAAUAUUCAAAUACGUUCUUUUCGAAGUUUCUUUGGUAUUCUUAAGAUAUAAAAUUUUGACAUGUUAAAAUAUAAAAGAUGAUUUUAUGCUUUGUUGAAACUAUUGGAAUGAAAUAAAAAAGCAAUAACAAGUCAUAGUUCUUGGCUUAUAAUGAAGAAAGUAAAGCUGGUUUUGAAUAAUUUACAUUUUUACAUAAAAGUCAAAUGUUGUAAUAAUUAUAUUUGUUUCUUUUGUGAAAAAUGCAACUAAAUGAAUAUCCUCAUUCAAUUAGAACCCAUCAAACACGUGAACUAAACUUGAUGGCCUAUUACUUG
rnacentral:lncRNA from 1 species